rnacentral:rRNA from 1 species
UACGUAGGGGGCAAGCGUUGUCCGGAAUCAUUGGGCGUAAAGAGCGUGUAGGCGGCCAGAUAAGUCCGCUGUGAAAUCUCGAGGCUCAACCUCGAGACGCCGGUGGAAACCGUAAAGCUAGAGUCCGGAAGAGGAGAGUGGAAUUCCUGGUGUAGCGGUGAAAUGCGCAGAUAUCAGGAAGAACACCCGUGGCGAAGGCGGCUCUCUGGGACGGUACUGACGCUGAGACGCGAAAGCGUGGGGAGCGAACAGG